AGAUUGAACGCUGGCGGCAGGCCUAACACAUGCAAGUCGAGCGGUAGAGAGGUGCUUGCAUCUCUUGAGAGCGGCGGACGGGUGAGUAAUGCCUAGGAAUCUGCCUAGUGGUGGGGGAUAACGUUCGGAAACGGACGCUAAUACCGCAUACGUCCUACGGGAGAAAGCGGGGGACCUUCGGGCCUCGCGCCAUUAGAUGAGCCUAGGUCGGAUUAGCUAGUUGGUGAGGUAAUGGCUCACCAAGGCGACGAUCCGUAACUGGUCUGAGAGGAUGAUCAGUCACACUGGAACUGAGACACGGUCCAGACUCCGUACGGGAGGCAGCAGGUGGGGAAUAGUUGGAACAAGUGGGACGAAAGCCUG
rnacentral:rRNA from 1 species